rfam:Cavia porcellus clone CH234-176E17, complete sequence.
CCCUCGGCGCGCCGCGUGGCCUGUCUUUCUAAAUAUUAGUAUAAUAAAUAUAAAUGGCAUCAGAACGUGAAGGGGCAGGGGCCACGUGAUCGCUCCACGAAAGCCACUCG